UCUCCGUUGGUGAACCAGCGGAGGGAUCAUUACCGAGUUUACAACUCCCAAACCCCUAUGUGAACGUUUCCAAACUGUUGCUUCGGCGAAAAAUCCAUGCCCCGGGCGCGCCGCAGCCCCGCACCAAGGCCCCCGCCGAAGGCCCAACCAAGACACUUUUGUACGUCCCUCGCGGACUUUUAUAAUUCUGAAUCAUCUCGGCGCCCCUAGCGGGCGUUUUGAAAAUGAAUCAAAACUUUCAACAACGGAUCUCUUGGUUCUG
rnacentral:misc_RNA from 1 species